UCUGUGCUUAGCCGCGUUAUC
rnacentral:piRNA from 1 species